rnacentral:rRNA from 1 species
UACGUAGGGUGCGAGCGUUAAUCGGAAUUACUGGGCGUAAAGCGUGCGCAGGCGGUUCGUUAUGUCCGAUGUGAAAUCCCCGGGCUUAACCUGGGAACUGCAUUUGGGACUGCAAGGCUUGAGUGCGGCAGAGGAGACUGGAAUUCCUGGUGUAGCAGUGAAAUGCGUAGAUAUCAGGAGGAAUACCGAUGGCGAAGGCAGGUCUCUGGGCUGACACUGACGCUCAUGCACGAAAGCGUGGGGAGCAAACAGG